CCUGGCGGCAAUAGCGCGGUGGUCCCACCUGACCCCAUGCCGAACUCAGAAGUGAAACGCCGUAGCGCCGAUGGUAGUGUGGGGUCUCCCCAUGCGAGAUUAGGACACUGCCAGGU
rnacentral:rRNA from 3 species